rnacentral:pre_miRNA from 1 species
GCUCUGACGAUGUUGCACUACUGUACCAUCCAUUCUAGCAGUGCAAUAGUAUUGUCAUAGCAU